rnacentral:rRNA from 1 species
GACGAACGCUGGCGGCGUGCUUAACACAUGCAAGUCGAACGGAAACGCCCUGCGUUUGUGGGGUUCUCGAGUGGCGAACGGGUGAGUAACACGUGAGUAACCUGCCCUUGUCUUUCGUAUAACUUCAGGAAACUGGGGUUAAUACCAGAUAGGAGCUCCCGUUCCGUUGUGGGGGUUGGAUCGUUUCGGCGGUUGCGGAUGGACUCGCGGCUUAUCAGCUUGUUGGUGGGGUAGUGGCUUACCAAGGCUUUGACGGGUACCCGGCAUGAGAGGGUGACCGGCCACCUUGGGACUGAGAGACGGCCCAGAGUCGUACGGGAGGCAGCAGUGGGAAAUAUGGCACAAUGGGCGGAAGCCUGAUGCAGCAACGCCGCGGUCGGGAUGACGGCCUUCGGGUUGUAAACCGCUUUCGCCUGUGACGAAGCUUGAGUGACGGUAAUGAGUAAAGAAGCACCGGCUAACUACGUG